UAAAUAUCAGGUGGUUUUUCUGACUUUCAUGCAGGAACGAGGAAACAAAACAUUUACAAAAAAAAUUGUUUUGGGUUUUUUUCUGAAUAAACGAAGAAACGAAAAAAGGACUCGUUUGCUCAUUAUUUCGUUGUACAAAGUAAACGAACAAACGAAUGAACGAACGAUACCUGGACCCUACAGAUGAAAAAGGAGGUGACAACAGGCUCUAUGUGGUGGAACACAGCCGGGCGCUACAACCUGUCCUGGAUCUUGGCUAAGCAGAUUUGUGUGUCACUGAAGACCGGCACUGCAGAGAGGUCAGUACCCCGUCCCACGGCUGCUGGGCCCUGAUAGAUUCAGGUUGAACAAGAAACUGCAAACUUGCUGGACAGUCUGUUACUGAAGGACAGGCGCCCUCUGCACUGUCCCCCGUCCAGAGGAAGUUCCAGAACUGAGGAGAAACUGAAAUUCGAGAGCAUGUGAUGGAAUGUCAAGUUGUGGACGUAAACAAGGUGUGACACCAUCGUAAUUCUUCCCCAUUUCGCGGUUUGGUUGGACAGUGCUGACAGUAAGCUCUCCAAAUGCUUUAUUUUCCUUCCAGUCAAGACUAUGAAUGUGGAACACGCCUUUAAUGUAGUGUUCGGCUACAAACACUACAUUAGAAAAGCAACUCUAAUCCAACUGGGCCGUUCAGUGACAAAAGGGCGUAGACUGGUUAUUGAACGUAGGCUUGCCUAAAACUAGCAUGACACAUUUCAGCUGGAAGGAAACCUCACUUUAAGGUAGUAAUGUGUAAUCAUUGAAUAUUAAAUUAAUAUGUAAAACUGUAUUCAGUAAUUGCAUAGUCCUGGCAUGUAAAUGUUCCACUUCCUCAUGACUCCACGUCUGCUUGUGGCAGUCCUUUCUUUUAAUGUCUAUUCAUCACCUCAGUUACAAAACUUUGUAGGGGAAUGCCAAUAUCAGCCAGUUUGCAUAUAGGGGGAGCUACCCAGGAUACUUCCAGUGAAUGUUGUUAGUAUAAAUAUAAUACAAAUGUGAAAUAGCUUAAAGUGCUUAGAGUAGUGUGGCUGUGGGAUAGGCAAGGUUAUACUGC
ensembl:lncRNA